rnacentral:lncRNA from 1 species
AGAUCAUCUCUAGAACACGCUCAGCAUUGUCACCCCAGCCCCUCUCUAGGCCAAUUUCUUGGAACUUGUGCUCAAAUACCGAGUAUGAAGUUUCAGGGGAAAGGGUAGUGAGAUAUUCCUCAGCCUUCCUUAGGACAUUUUGGAGAGUGUUUAAGUCCUGAACUCUGUCAUUCAGCAUCAUUGUCUGCACAGAAAAUCAUAAAUCAGUUGCCACUAAAAAAUUCACGAAGCAAAGCAACUUUCAGAAACUAAAUUCAUAGACAAACAGGAAAAACAAGUUUACCUUGCCCUUGUAGUGAUGAACUCGAAGAAACUCGAGAAGAGGGGUCAUGCUUUCCUUGUCAUGGAACAUUUUGGCAGAGAGGUGUCGGUUGAGGAAUUCAACUCCAUUUCCAAUUGAUUUGGUGAGGGUUGGUUUGGGAAAUGAUGCAGUGAAGGGCUCAAAAUCCAGCUCAAGAACAA